UACGUAGGUGGCAAGCGUUGUCCGGAUUUAUUGGGUUUAAAGGGUGCGUAGGCGGUUCUAUAAGUUAGUGGUGAAAUCCGGCAGCUCAACUGUCGAUGUGCCAUUGAUACUGCAGAACUUGAGUACAGACGAGGUAGGCGGAAUUGACGGUGUAGCGGUGAAAUGCUUAGAUAUCGUCAAGAACACCGAUAGCGAAGGCAGCUUACUAGACUGUAACUGACGCUGAUGCACGAAAGUGUGGGGAUCAAACAGG
rnacentral:rRNA from 1 species